rnacentral:sRNA from 1 species
AAGUGUAAGUGGGAACAGGUGUGAGUGAGUGGGCCAGCGGGCUUCUGGUGGGUCGGGCACUGUGGUCCCUGGCCUCAGAGAAGGAAGAGCCUCGAGGUCAUCAUCCUUCUCCUAGCAGGCAGCUAUGCAGCGGGGCAAGGACAGGAGAGGAAGGAGGGCCAUGAAGGGUAGGAGGGUCAGCCAAGAUGGUGUGAGUUUUGGAGCAGAACACUAUCUGAGUCCUGGAGGCAUAUGAAACUGCCCAUAAAGGACGGAUGCCGGGGUCCUCAGUGAGGGCCAGGGAAAGGGUGGGAUGGCCCGCACUUGACAGCGCCUGUCUCAGUGCUCAUGUUCACUGGGGGUCUUCCCAUCAGCCCCUUCACCCACGAGGUGAACUGCCGCGGAGCUGUGAGGGUGCUGUUUGCAUUCCAGUUGCCGGGACUCUCACCUGAGACUGAGACUCAGUGAGUGGGUCCACCGAUCGUUCCUCCUGGGAGUUUAAGUGUAAGGAGGAGCUGGUGGGCUUCAGGCGGGUCGGGCAGCACAGUCCGUGGCCUCAGAGGAGGAAGGGCCUCACAGGCGGUGGCGCCGCCAUGACCUUGUGAUUGUGGCAGGGCUAGGGCGAGGGAGGAAGUUGGGCCACAGAGGGGAGAGGGAUCAGGUGGAGCAAAACUUGGGGGUACUUUUUGAGGUAUCUUUGAGUCCCAGAGGCGCCUGAAACUGCCGACAGAGGAUAGGUUUCGGAGUUCUCAGUGGGGACCUGGGGAGGAGGGGACCUGGGGUGGCUGUAUAUUUAAAAAAUCUCUUCAUAAUGGAGUUCAGUUAUGAAAUUAAGUCUCUUUAGGAAAGACCCCAUGUUUUGAUCUAGGACUUGAAGAUCACUUCUCUGCCAAGUUGGCUGUGGAAGAAACAAAGCAGUUUGCAGAUAGAUUUAUUUGAUGUGAUUGGAAACCAGGCGUAGUUAUUAUUAACUCAGGACCUAUUAUGGAAAUCUCACAAAAUUAAAAAAAAUUACAAUCAGCAGAUGGCCAUAGAAAGAGUCGAGUAUAAUUACUUCUUUUUAUUGCAGUCUUCAGUUCACGAUCUUCUAGUUGCAGCGAUGAGUGCACGAGUGAGAUCAAGAUCCAGAGGAAGAGGAGAUGGUCAGGAGGCUCCGGAUGUGGUUGCAUUCGUGGCUCCUGGUGAAUCUCAGCAAGAGGAACCACCAACUGACAAUCAGGAUAUCGAACCUGGACAAGAGAGAGAAGGAACACCUCCGAUUGAAGGUGAGAAGGGCAUGGAGGAGCAUUUUGUGUUUCAUGUAUGAUUUUAUACUGGUAACAGGAGUAAAUAAACCAUCCCCUAAAAAUUGGCUGGAAACCUGUAAGGUAAUCCUUGGUAAGGGAAUAGUGUAGGUUUCAGCUGCCGUAGUCCUUGCGAUAAAUUUUCUCUUCGGCAUUUUACUUAUCUUAUAUCUUAAGAGUUCUUUGGCAUACUUGGAAAAUACGAUCCUUGCCAAGACUCUAUAUUAGC